CCUACGGGAGGCAGCAGUGAGGAAUAUUGGUCAAUGGGCGCGAGCCUGAACCAGCCAAGUCGCGUGAGGGAUGAAGGGUCUAUGGAUAGUAAACCUCUUUUAUAAGGGAAUAAAGUGUGGGACGUGUCCUAUUUUGUAGGUACCUUAUGAAUAAGGAUGGGCUAACGCCGUGCCAGCAGCCGCGUUAAUACGGACGAUCCGAGCGUUAUCCGGAUUUAUUGGGUUUAAAGGGUGUGUAGGCGGCCUUUUAAGUCAGCGGUGAAAGUCUGUGGCUCAACCAUAGAAGUGCCGUUGAAACUGGGGGGCUUGAGUAUGUUUGAGGCAGGCGGAAUGCGUGGUGUAGCGGUGAAAUGCUUAGAUAUCACGCAGAACCCCGAUUGCGAAGGCAGCCUGCCAAGCCAUGACUGACGCUGAUGCACGAAAGCGUGGGGAUCAAACAGGAUUAGAUACCCUUGUAGUC
rnacentral:rRNA from 1 species